rnacentral:tRNA from 1 species
ACUUGAAUAGCUUAUAUUUAGAGCACGACACUGAAGAUGUCGAUGAGGCAUUAUUUGUUGCCUUCGAGUA